UGGGGAAUAUUGCACGAUGGGCGCAAGCCUGAUGCAGCCAUGCCGCGUGUAUGAAGAAGGCCUUCGGGUUGUAAAGUACUUUCAGCGGGGAGGAAGGGAGUAAAGUUAAUACCUUUGCUCAUUGACGUUACCCGCAGAAGAAGCACCGGCUAACUCCGUGCCAGCAGCCGCGGUAAUACGGAGGGUGCAAGCGUUAAUCGGAAUUACUGGGCGUAAAGCGCACGCAGGCGGUUUGUUAAGUCAGAUGUGAAAUCCCCGGGCUCAACCUGGGAACUGCAUCUGAUACUGGCAAGCUUGAGUCUCGUAGAGGGGGGUAGAAUUCCAGGUGUAGCGGUGAAAUGCGUAGAGAUCUGGAGGAAUACCGGUGGCGAAGGCGGCCCCCUGGACGAAGACUGACGCUCAGGUGCGAAAGCGUGGGGAGCAAACAGG
rnacentral:rRNA from 1 species